rnacentral:rRNA from 1 species
GACGAACGCUGGCGGCGUGCCUAAUACAUGCAAGUCGAGCGGACCGAACAGGAGCUUGCUCUUGUUCGGUUAGCGGCGGACGGGUGAGUAACACGUGGGUAACCUGCCCGUAAGACCGGGAUAACUCCGGGAAACCGGAGCUAAUACCGGAUAACACCGAAGACCGCAUGGUCUUUGGUUGAAAGGCGGCUUCGGCUGCCACUUACGGAUGGGCCCGCGGCGCAUUAGCUAGUUGGUGAGGGAACGGCUCACCAAGGCGACGAUGCGUAGCCGGCCUGAGAGGGUGACCGGCCACACUGGGACUGAGACACGGCCCAGACUCCUAAGGGAGGCAGCAGUAGGGAAUCUUCCGCAAUGGACGAAAGUCUGACGGAGCGACGCCGCGUGAGCGACGAAGGUCUUCGGAUCGUAAAGAUCUGUUGUUGGGGAAGAAGAAGCGUCGUUCGAACAGGGCGGCGCGGUGACGGUACCUAACGAGAAAGCCCCGGCUAACUACGUG